rnacentral:lncRNA from 1 species
AUGAAGCUCGCUGAAGGAAGUCCUCGUAGCGGCUUGUUUGUGAGGGAAAAUGCCGUUUGGUUUUGGUCAUUUGGAGUUGGAAGGCAUUGUUGGAUAUCCAGUUUUUAUAGUGGAAGGCAGGGGGCAGCAGAGUCCCACUUUUCAAAGGAGAUUCCAGCCACAACUUCAGAAGAAACGUUGCUCCCCACCCCCUCCCGCAACUUGUAUCUUUUUUUGUUAACGAUACCAUAUCCCCUUUUUAAAAGUUGGAGAACAUAAUUUGAUUCCAAAGUCUCUGUCUUUGGGUACAGCAUUCGGAUCUGAAGGCUAACUUUGGGCAAGUGUGCCUCCAAGCUGAAUGUAUCAACUUCUUUUAAAGAAAAGGAGUUAAGAACUUAUUUACUGGUGAUGGCCUGAUGCUAUUUCAGUAGAAGGCUUGGCGUUGGACUGGAAUUGCGGAUUUUUAGCGUGAGGGCUGACUCUAUCCUGGAGACUACCGUUGGUAUUUAAAGAAAAGAAAUUAGGCCCGCCAGAGCCGCAUUCUUGAGAUACCUUUACUAUUACAGUUAUAGUCAUGGUGAGUACAGUCCACAGUCCUUGUUGCUGCUAUUGUCUGGGUUUCCUCAAGUCAGGUUGACUUGGGAUAAGGGUGGGAAAUGAAGCCACAUUUACAAGGGUAACUCAUACUUCUUUGCCUUUUGACCUAUCUUCCCACUGCUGUCCCUCCUGGUGCUUUCCAAUCUCUGUCAUUUUACCUCCCAGCCUCCACCUACUGUCUAGACUGUGAAGCAGGGGCACAGAAGCUUCUCAUUUCUGUUCCUAGGGCUCUGCUCUGCUGUCUUCGAGCAGGUGAUGUCAUCGCUGGUCACAGGACAGUGGGGCCUACUGCUGACCUGCAGCGUGCAGGUCGCUCUGGGCCCCGGGGCUGUGCUCCCAGGCUUGCUUCUCUGUGGUCUGCUUUGUUAACACACACAAGGACCACAUCUACCUGUAUAUUGCUGUGUCUGGCACAGGUAAGCUACGGAAGAGGUACCUGAUCAUUUUGUUGAAUAGGCACCACAACCUUUUCACUUCAAUGUCAUAAUGGGAUUUUUAAUAAAAUUUCUCUUAAAAAACGGGGUUGUUAUCCC